rnacentral:lncRNA from 1 species
CUCAAACUGCACUAUUGCACCGAUUUAAAGAAAAGUCCUAAUGCUACCCCCUAGUAAGAUAUCUUUGUUGAUAUAUUAUGCAAGUCGUAAAAGUAAAGGAUUUGCCUGCAAAUAAGGAAAAAAUAGACAUGGCAAUGUAAAUUUCAGCAGU